GGAGCGGUGUCCGAGCGGUUUAAGGAGGCGGUCUUGAAAACCGUUGAACUGAAAGGUUCCGGGGGUUCGAAUCCCCCCUGCUCCG
rnacentral:tRNA from 1 species